AGUGAACGCUGGCGGUAGGCCUAACACAUGCAAGUCGAACGGCAGCACAGUAAGAGCUUGCUCUUACGGGUGGCGAGUGGCGGACGGGUGAGGAAUACAUCGGAAUCUACUUUUUCGUGGGGGAUAACGUAGGGAAACUUACGCUAAUACCGCAUACGACCUACGGGUGAAAGCAGGGGAUCUUCGGACCUUGCGCGAUUGAAUGAGCCGAUGUCGGAUUAGCUAGUUGGCGGGGUAAAGGCCCACCAAGGCGACGAUCCGUAGCUGGUCUGAGAGGAUGAUCAGCCACACUGGAACUGAGACACGGCCCAGACUCCUACGGGAGGCAGCAGUGGGGAAUAUUGGACAAAGGGCGCAAGCCUGAUCCAGCCAUACCGCGUGGGCGAAGAAGGCCUUCGGGUUGUAAAGCCCUUUUGUUGGGAAAGAAAAGCAGCAGGUUAAUACCCCGCUGUUCUGACGGUACCCAAAGAAUAAGCACCGGCUAACUUCGUG
rnacentral:rRNA from 1 species